rnacentral:misc_RNA from 1 species
UCACAUUGGACCAGAGCCUACAACAGACAGAUUUGUGGUUGUCAUGAAUGGACCUGACGAAAGGAGUAUUCCAGGGAACACAAUUGCAGUUCAAGCAAAUAUGCCAUUUAGCGGUUUGACAACUUUUGGAUCUGCAUUUUUAUCAAAGUUUGAGUGUUCUCAAAUGCCACAUCCUCUGUUGGAGCACAUCACAUUUGUUGAUACUCCUGGAGUUCUAUCGGGAGAAAAACAACGAACACAAAGG